rnacentral:tRNA from 1 species
GGAGAACUGGGUGAGCGGUUGAAACCACACCCCUGCUAAGGGUGCGAGGGGGUAACUCCUCCGAGAGUUCGAAUCUCUCGUUCUCCACCA